rnacentral:rRNA from 1 species
GUGGAUUAGAUACCCCGGUAGUCCAUGCCGUAAACGAUGUCUACUAGCCGUUGGGGCCUUUGAGGCUUUAGUGGCGCAGCUAACGCGAUAAGUAGACCGCCUGGGGAGUACGGUCGCAAGACUAAAACUCAAAUGAAUUGACGGGGGCCCGCACAAGCGGUGGAGCAUGUGGUUUAAUUCGAUGCAACGCGAAGAACCUUACCUGGCCUUGACAUACUAAGAACUUUCCAGAGAUGGAUUGGUGCCUUCGGGAACUUAGAUACAGGUGCUGCACGGCCGUCGCCAACU